rnacentral:lncRNA from 9 species
UUUUUUUUUUUUUUUUUUUUUGCUUUUUAGGACUGCACCCACAGCAUAUGGAAGUUCCCAGGCUAGGGGUUGAAUCCGAGCUAUAGCUGCCCUGGCCUACUCCACAGGCACAACAACGUGAGAGCCAUGUCUGUGACCCACACCGCAGCUUGUGGCAAUGCCAGAUCCUUCACCCACUGAGCAAGACCAGGGACAGAAACUGUGUCUUCAGGGAUGCUAGUCAGGAUUGUUACCACUGAGCCACAAGGGGAACUCCUGAAUGUUAUUAUUCUUAAAUUACACAAUUUCCUAAUUUGUGUUUGGUAGUCUUAGCUCCCAGUUAGUAACACUUAAAGAAAGUAACUUGAUCUGGAUGAUACAGCUAGUAAAUGGUAGGUCCAAGCUUAAACCCAUGUCAAUCUAAGUUUCUGCUCCAAAGUCUCCACUUGUUUGCCAAAUCAUAGUUUCAGCUCCAAAGUCUCCACUUGUUUGCCAACACAUAGCUCUGCCUCUCUGACUAAGUCAUGUGUGCCCAGGCUACAGUGGGCAAGCAAGCCUACAAAGUCACAACUAAAGGAAGUGACAAAUUCUUGCUCAUUCAAACCAUUUUAGUAUUCAAGAUAGCAUAAUCCCCGGGGUUAGCAAAUCAGGGUGAUUGUGGUGAUAAACUUUCUAAGUUAGAUGAUAAUGGUAUGGUUUUAUAUGACCAGUUCCAUUUAUAAGAAAGUAAAAGAAGUGGAUGUUACAGAUGUGACCCAAGAAGGAAAAUCUGUGAGCAGCUGACAUACAUGAAACAGUUCAGAAUUUGUGGAAGGGCUUUCAGCAGGUAUGCAAUGAGUUGUUUCUCCCAAACAAAUGUAUUUUGGUUCAGGAGACUCUCCCCAGCAUUCCCAGUAAGGCCUGAAAUGAUAAAUAAAAACUACAACCAAGGAGUAAGAGAAAAUGCUAGGUUUAAUUACAUUUCACCAAACACUAUGCAGCACAGUUAAUUCAAAAAACUCUAUAAUCUCCCUGCUUCUGGGGAUGUACAUACUGCUAAAUCCUGCUGGGCUAGUGCAUAGACUCACACAGCCAUGCCUGGGAGAAGUCGCAAGGGAGAGCUAAUGAAGGCAGGAUAUUCAGGAUGGGAGGGAUGAUGAGAGUGGUGUGGGGAGAUGGGAAAUAACCUUUAGAAGCUUUAUAUUUUUGCAGAUUUUAGGGUCUGGCUACUGAGACCUAGUUUUGUUUACUUUAUUCAAGCUGCAGAGAAAGGAGAGGCAUGCCUGAAGGUACUAUCCCCAAGAAAAUAUUAAUGCUAUUAAUAUUCCCUAAUGAUUUAUGAUAAUGCUUUGCUUUGUUUAUUACUCUAAACCUCAAGUUUCACAGAAAAUUAUUUGUGAUGACACAUAGCUCCCUUGCCACAUCUUUAUUAUUGUUUUCACAGUUACUUAAAGCUUGUAUUGUUAACUAUUUAUUUGCUCAUGUCAUUUUUCUGGAUGGCAAACCCCUUGAAGGCAGGAAUGUGUUCUAGAGAACACCUCUUUUAGAAUAUGGCAGAGCACUUGCCAAUUUGAUAUUGGCAGAGAAUUCAGGCAUAUUGAUCUUCUGUGUUCCAACAACAGCACAUGGGACAUGGCACUGCAGCAAAGAGACUCCUCCUUAUUCAGGGAUUAUUUUCACAGCAAGUAAAAGAAAUCCAACUUAAUCCACCUUAAUUACGGAGAAAUAUUUUGUUUCAUGGACAUGAAUCAGAAGAAAACCUAGGAUGAAAUUUGUCUUGUGAAUUUAGAAAUAAAUCAAUUAUAACCACAGCUCCUCCUGUGUACCAGGAAACAACGCAGAAAGCUUUGAUUCUCCUAUUUCCAAAAUAUUAGAACCAGAGGGGGAAAAAUACCUCUCUCUCAUCAAUAUUUUAGAAAUCCCAGGGAAAUAUACACAAGUGCAUUAGAGACUAUGAAGAAAGAGACAAGAUCCCAAGAGCUCCCUUGUGGGGAGAGACGCAGUUCCUCAAAAGAACAGUAAGGCCAGUGGGUGAAUAUCUGUGAGCAUGAAAGCCAUUAUAUAUUCUAUCUAAUGUAAAUAUGAUAAAAGAAGAGAAAUAGUAGAUUUUGAUAUGUGUUAUUACAUACAUUAUAAACUCACCCAAAAGUCAUAAAGGAUAAGAAAUAUGAAGACAAAUGGGAAGAUACUGGCAGUAUCUUUGCCCUAUAAAUUCCGAAACAGUGAAACAUUUACUAUUAAGAUAAAGAAAUAGAUAUUUUAAACCAUUAACACUAGGCUUUAAGCUCUUUAUUGAUUUUAGGAUUAUUCCUCUGUUCAAAUAAAACUAGAUCAUUCAAAAAUUCCACCUGCAAAGAGAGUAUCUGCACAUACCACAUGCAAGCAUUUUACAUACAUUAUAUCAUUUAACCCUCAUAAAAAUACUAGAAUGUAGGUGUUUGUAUUUGUUAGGAUAUAUACAAAACUACUUUAGCAAAGAGGCCCAAAAGACAUUGGCUCUGCCAGACUCAAGGUAAAUCUUCUAUCUCUUGAGUCCAAGAUGGUGGUGCCAUUUCCCAAACCCAACUAUUGCUCUGGCAUUGCUUUUCUCAGCCAGUGGUAAAAGGAAAGAUAUGGGGGGUAAGUGGGUUUUUUUAGGGGUAGAAUCUGAAAGCUGCAAGUAUCAUCUGUGUUCUCCUGUGAGUUAGAGCUGGGUUACAUGAUCUAACUUAGGGAUAAGACAGGUUAAGAAAUGCUGUCCCUAGCUGGGCAAGUAGUAACCUACCAAACCUCACGCGUAUGUGGUAGAAUUGGUGGAGGCAGAUUUACUGUGAAGUCAGUGUGGUAUAAUUUUAAGAGUCCCUCACAUGUGCUCCUUUCAGACCUUGAUGGAGGGGGAAUUAGCAACAUGUUCAUUUAUUUACUUCAUAUCCUUUUGUCCUUAACACUUCUAAAAGAUAGAUCUGCCCCUGACAGGUAGGACUCAUCUGUAAACCAAUACAAGAGGAAUAAAAAUUAUUGGGGAAAAUGCUACUCCCAAAUAAUUUAUUUUAUCAAUGAGGCCUAGAGAGAUUAAGUAACCUGCAAAAGUCAUAUAGAUUUGGAGUUAAAAUCACAACCUGGGCCUCUAUGGCACAACGACUUUUGACUCAUAUUUGCAGUACAUCAGGUACUCAAAUCUUUUACAAUUUUAUUUCUUCCUGACAUUAUCUCAGAAGAAAAGUUGGACAAUCUAGAAAUCACAAGGUAAUUGGCUACACCGCUUUGCUCCUAUCGUUCAGAUGAUCUUAGCAGACAAAGUGAAAGUGAAAGAGAACAUGCGAAGCCCAGCUGCCAAGCUGACAUAACAGCCAGUUAGUCAGGGCGAUGCCACUCUCAGAUCAACUCAGAGGUUAAUAACACAGAUGCAGUCAAAGAUCUGAUGGAUAGAGGCUGUGAACCCCGUAUCAAUAACUUACAGAGAAUGCCUGGUGGUGGCAGAUGAAGAGACCCGUCAUCAAUUAAGCAUGGCAGUCCAUUUUUAUAAGAUUGUCAGAAGGGAUUAUUAAAUUUCACAUCUUAGUUUGCCUGGGGAAAAAAUCAAAUAACACUAAAGGUUGCAUUUUAAAAACAACGUUUAGUGUAAACUCUUGCUUCUGGCCUCAUGUCGAACUGCCAAAGAGAGUUAAUUAUCAAAACAAAAGGUAGACACAUGCCUUCCUUUUUAUACAAUUCCUAUUUAGAGUAAAUUCAGAAAAGCAUCCUGCAUUAAGUCAUAGAGGACUAAAGUGGUCUGUCUCUAGAUAUGCUUUUUUAAUUUUAAUACUGGAUUCAGACGGUUCCAUCUAACUUGUGUUGAAUUUACUGUGGAUCAGCUCAAUUAUCAACUUUUUAAAGAAAAUCUUAAAAUUCUUAUAUUUGUAAACCCCCUAUGAAUGCCAGAAUUAUGUGGUAGCACACUGGAAAAGUUUAAAAGACCCAAAGUAACAUUUUGAAAGGCGAUUAUAAUUAUAAUGCAGUCAUUACUGUAGUAUAACAAGAUGUCUCAGUAUCUAGAAACCAUUCACAAUUAUUCUACCAUGCACAUUUUCAGUUAGCAUUGUGCUGUUGUUUCAGUAACAGUUUACUAUCUUAAUAUGACAGGCCUAAUAUCACCUUCUUAAGGAAAUUAUCUUUCUUUGGCACUGGAUUAAUAAUAUUCUGUUACUUUAUAUUUGUAGCAAGUCAUACCCAAUUCUAUACCACCAUCCACUGAACUUAAUGAUCUAUUUGAUGGAUAUCACUAAAACAGUUUGUAAAGUUGACUCUAACAAAAUGAAAGGAUAUACAUAUCAGCUUGAGAUGGUACAAAGAAACAACCUCAAGUAGACCAGAAAGCUGUCCUUAAUUGUUGACAAUUACUAUUCUAUAGAUUAAUACAAAUAAAGAAAAUAUUAUAGAAUUCUAGAAUUAUAAGGCACAGGAAUUAUUUGCCCAAUAAUCUAAUUAAAAAGGCUAUGGACCAACAACUAGAUUUGAUAAAAAUCAUGACAUGAAUUAGUGAUUAAACUAAGUUUUAGCCCUAGUGUUAUAUAUACAAUAGCCCACUAUUUUUGCCUAAUAUCAUGAUGUAUUCCAAAAUAGUGUGGAUAUAAUAAGAGCAGUCUUUCAAUUUACUUACUUAAAUCAAGCAGAUUAUGGGUCAGAAUUUUAUCCCCCGAUUAAAGCUUC